GAGGACGCACAGUUUAUACCGUAGCUUGCUACACCAUAGACUGUGAGUUGCGAACGGGUGAGUAACGCGUAGGUAACCUGCCUAUUAGAGGGGGAUAACUAUUGGAAACGAUAGCUAAUACCGCAUAACAGUAUGUAACACAUGUUAGAUGCUUGAAAGAUGCAAUUGCAUCGCUAGUAGAUGGACCUGCGUUGUAUUAGCUAGUAGGUAGGGUAAAGGCCUACCUAGGCAACGAUACAUAGCCGACCUGAGAGGGUGAUCGGCCACACUGGGACUGAGACACGGCCCAGACUCCUACGGGAGGCAGCAGUAGGGAAUCUUCGGCAAUGGGGGGAACCCUGACCGAGCAACGCCGCGUGAGUGAAGAAGGUUUUCGGAUCGUAAAGCUCUGUUGUUAAGGAAGAACGAGUGUGAGAAUGGAAAGUUCAUGCUGUGACGGUACUUAACCAGAAAGGGACGGCUAACUACGUGCCAGCAGCCGCGGUAAUACGUAGGUCCCGAGCGUUGUCCGGAUUUAUUGGG
rnacentral:rRNA from 1 species